GACGAGGGAUCCUAGCGUUGUUCGGAAUCAUUGGGCGUAAAGCGGGUGUAGGCGGGCUUAUAAGUCAGAUGUGAAAUCCCAGGGCUCAACCCUGGAAGUGCAUUUGAUACUGUAAGUCUUGAAUGUGGUAGAGGUUACUAGAAUUCCUGGUGUAGUGGUGAAAUACGUAGAUAUCAGGAGGAAUACCAGAGGCGAAGGCGGGUAACUGGGCCAACAUUGACGCUGAGACCCGAAAGUGUGGGGAUCAAACAGG
rnacentral:rRNA from 1 species